rnacentral:tRNA from 1 species
ACCCAUAUAGUUUAUUAAGAAUAAUAAUUUGUGGUAUUAUAGGUAUAAUUAUUUAUUUUGGGUU